rnacentral:rRNA from 1 species
UAAGGAAUAUUGGUCAAUGGACGCAAGUCUGAACCAGCCAUGCCGCGUGGAGGAUUAAGGCCCUCUGGGUUGUAAACUCCUUUUAUAUGGGAAGAAAUGUUUCGAUUCUUCGAAGCUUGACGGUACCAGAGGAAUAAGCACCGGCUAACUCCGUGCCAGCAGCCGCGGUAAUACGGAGGGUGCAAGCGUUAUCCGGAUUCACUGGGUUUAAAGGGUGCGUAGGCGGGCAAGUAAGUCAGUGGUGAAAUCUCCGAGCUUAACUCGGAAACUGCCGUUGAUACUAUUUGUCUUGAAUGUUGUGGAGGUAAGCGGAAUAUGUCAUGUAGCGGUGAAAUGCUUAGAUAUGACAUAGAACACCAAUUGCGAAGGCAGCUUACUACACAACGAUUGACGCUGAGGCACGAAAGCGUGGGGAUCAAACAGGAUUAGAUACCCUGGUAGUCCACGCCCUAAACGAUGAUUACUCGACAUACGCGAUACACUGUGUGUGUCUGAGCGAAAGCAUUAAGUAAUCCACCUGGGAAGUACGUUUGCAAGAAUG